AUUGAACGCUGGCGGCAGGCCUAACACAUGCAAGUCGAACGAGUGGCGGACGGGUGAGUAAUGUCUGGGGAACUGCCCGAUGGAGGGGGAUAACCACUGGAAACGGUAGCUAAUACCGCAUACUCUCGGAUGCGCCCAGAUGGGAUUAGCUAGUAGGUGGGGUAACGGCUCACCUAGGCGACGAUCCCUAGCUGGUCUGAGAGGAUGACCAGCCACACUGGAACUGAGACACGGUCCAGACUCCUACGGGAGGCAGCAGUGGGGAAUAUUGCACAAUGGGCGCAAGCCUGAUGCAGCCAUGCCGCGUGUAUGAAGAAGGCCUUCGGGUUGUAAAGUACUUUCAGCGGGGAGGCGUUACUCGCAGAAGAAGCACCGGCUAACUCCGUGCCAGCAGCCGCGGUAAUUC
rnacentral:rRNA from 1 species